rnacentral:tRNA from 1 species
GCGAGAGUAGCUCAGUUGGUAGAGCUUCAGCCUUCCAAGCUGAAUGUCGCCGGUUCGAACCCGGUCUCUCGCU